UACAGAGGUCUCAAGCGUUGUUCGGAUUCAUUGGGCGUAAAGGGCGCGUAGGCGGCGGGGUAAGUCGGGUGUGAAAUCUCAGAGCUCAACUCUGAAACUGCACUCGAUACUGCUCUGCUUGAGGACUGGAGAGGAGACUGGAAUUCACGGUGUAGCAGUGAAAUGCGUAGAUAUCGUGAGGAAGACCAGUGGCGAAGGCGG
rnacentral:rRNA from 1 species